CUGCUGUUAUACAGAAAGAAAAGAUAUAGGAGUGGAAAGCCUAUAUUAUGACGGUACUGUAUCAGAAAGUGACGGCAAACUAUGUGCCAGCAGCCGCGGUAAUACAUAGGUCACAAGCGUUAUCCGAAACUAUUGGGCGUAAAGCGUCCGUAGGUUGUUUGUUAAGUCUGGAGUUAAAGACCGGUGCUCAACGCCGGCACGCUUUAGAUACUGGCAAACUAGAGUUAUAAAGAGGUAAGUGGAAUUUCAUGUGAAGCGGUGGAAUGCGUAGAUAUAUGAAAGAACACCAAUGGCGAAGGCAGCUUACUGGUUAUAUACUGACACUGAGGGACGAAAGCGUGGGGAGCAAACAGGAUUAGAUACCCUGGUAGUCCACGCCGUAAACGAUGAUCAUUAGUUGGUGGGGGAACCCUCGCUAACGCAGCUAACGCAUUAAAUGAUCCGCCUGAGUAGUAUGCUCGCAAGAGUGAAACUUAAAGGAAUUGACGGGGACCCGCACAAGCGGUGGAGCAUGUGGUUUAAUUUGACGAUACGCGUAGAACCUUACCCACUCUUGACAUCCCUUGCAAAGCUAUAGAGAUAUAGUGGAGGUUAACAAGGUGACAGAUGGUGCAUGGUUGUCGUCAGCUCGUGUCGUGAGAUGUUCGGUUAAGUCCUGCAACGAGCGCAACCCCUAUCCUUAUUUACUAACGUUAAGUUGAGAACUAUACGGAUACUGCUCAGGUAACUGGGAGGAAGGUGGGGAUGACGUCAAAUCAUCAUGCCUCUUACGAGUGGGGCAACACACGUGCUACAAUGGCCGGUACAAAGAGACGCAAUAUGGUGACAUGGAGCAAAUCUGAAAAACCGGUCUCAGUUCGGAUUGAAGGCUGCAAUUCGCCUUCAUGAAGUCGGAAUCGCUAGUAAUCGUAGAUCAGCUACGCUACGGUGAAUACGUUCUCGGGUCUUGUACACACCGCCCGUCACACCAUGGGAGCCGGUAAUGCCCAAAGUC
rnacentral:rRNA from 1 species